CAAGGACUUGCUUGAUGGCACUUUAAACAAAACCAACUUUAUUGUCACUCUCCGUUGCUGCUUGGCUGUACAAAUAUUUUUAGCCACGCAGUUAAGGCAUCUUCUGAUGCAGCUCAGGAGCAGGUGGAACUUGAACAUGUACUUGAACAGAGAGAGACGAUCCCCUUCAACAAGUACCCAAAAUGGAAUAUCUGUUUGAGAGAGGAAUCGCCGUAGAAGACUUCUGAACUACCUUCUUACCUUUCCUGACAGUCACCCAUUUAUCUGAAUGAUCAUAUGCGUAAUCACUUCUUUAAAUCGACUAGUCAUCACACUUUGUGUCUCUUUAAGUUUAAUGUCACUGAGGGCAUUCAAAAGAAGAAGCCGUCAAUAUGUAUAAAAACAAACUACCUUUCCUUACCUACAGAUUUUAAUGUUAAUCAUGGAAAAGAUUUUUAAAAAAUUUAAAUAAAAUGUAUUUAGCUGAAA